rnacentral:misc_RNA from 1 species
GGAAGGAUCAUUAACACUCUGUUUGGUUGGUUUGAAGAUGGCCAGCAAUGGUUAUCAACAGCCUUCCAAUACAAAUCACCUUGAGAAUCGAACUGUUCACCGAACGUGGCAGCUAGCUAGCUAGCGUGCAGUUAGGAUAAUUUCGGUUAUCCUACCCGGCUGCUGCUGCUGCUGCUACAUCUCAAUUUAUUUAAACCCCUUUAAUCUAAUACAACUGAAACUAUAUUUUUUUCCGAAAGGAAAAAAGAAGAAAAUAAAGACAACUUUUGACAGUGGAUAUCUUGGCUCUUGCAUCGAUGAAGAACGCAGCAAACCGCGAUAACUAAUGUGAAUCGCAGAAACCUGUGAAUCAUCAAGACUUUGAACGCACAUUGCGGUCACGGUCGGGGUAACUCGAACGUGACCAUACCUGUUUGAGAAUUGGUUUAUUCAAGAUCAAGCUUAGUCUUGGAAAUGAGGUCGAUAUUCGUCACUGAGUAUCUUCCUUUAAUAACUUGACACAUGCAAGCAAAUCCCGAAAAGCAAUUGAGGGAAGUUAGGGCCCAUUAAGCCCUAUUGCGUAUAUUUAAGUAAUAUAUGCAAUUUGGGUGGACUUUGACCGACCAAGGUUGUGGGAAGAGCUUCUGCUAUGUAAGUACACUAACCAACCAUGAAGCCAUUUCUUAUCUCAAAUUAGGUAAGAUUACCCGCUGAACUUAAGCAUAUUACUAAGCGGAGGAAAAGAAACUAACUAGGAUUCCCCUAGUAGCAGCGAGUGAAUAGGGAAAAGCUCAAAGUUAAAAUCCCAGCAAUGGGAGUUGUACUUUUGAGAGGCAGCUCCGGAGCUCCAUCAGGUAUAAGUUCCUACUGAAUGGGACGUCAGAGAGGGUGAAAACCCCGUCUUUGACCUGAAACGGGACUCACCACGGACUGCUAUCAGAGAGUCGGGUUGUUUGGGAUUGCAACCCUAAUUGGGUGGUAAACUUCAUCUAAAGCUAAAUAUAGGCAAGAGACCGAUAGCGAACAAGUACCGUGAGGGAAAGAUGAAAAGAACUUUGAAAAGAGAGUGAUAAUAGUCCUUGAAACUGUCAAAAGGACAAGCGAUUACGGCUGUUGUUGCGAUGGUCCAUCCCCUUCUCCGGUGUGAGGUGUUGCCGUGUGUAGACCCCUCAAAGGCUGCUGCGGCAAUUCUCGAAGCGCUGGUGGAGGAUGCGUUGGGCCAUUGCCGGUCAACGACAGUUUUGGGCAUCAAAUUCCGUCAAGGGUGGUCGGGAAUGUAGGAGAGUGGGUUCCUUGCGUUCUCACUUUCAACUUAUAGCCUUCCAUCCGAAACGGAUCCGAGACUGGGGAAAGGCCUUCCACGGCCCAAAGAUUGGGACAGAUCGAGACCUCUGGGGGGGUACCGGCGGGCUAACUCUUAGGAGGGAGUUCGUACGGGCUCUUUCAGGUGUCGAAGCUCUGCCCUUUCUCAAUGUUGACAUAUACGGCUUUAAUCGUCCCGUCUUGAAAACACGGACCAAGGAGUCUAGCAUAUAUGCGAGUAUUCGGGUGGAAAACCUAUGAAUGCGAAAUGAAAGUAAAGGGCCCCUUUGGGGUCUGAGGUAGGACUCUUCAGUCUUCGGACUGGAGAUGCACUAUCGACCGAUCUGGAUGUUUUUUGAAGGAUUCGAGUAAAGGCAUAUCUGUUAGGACCCGAAAGACGGUGAACUAUGCUGGGUAGGGUGAAGCCAGAGGAAACUCUGGUGGAGGCUCGAAGCGAUACUGACGUGCAAAUCGUUCGUCAAAUCUGGGUAUAGGGGCGAAAGACUAAUCGAACCGUCUAGUAGCUGGUUCCCCUC